rnacentral:rRNA from 1 species
UACGUAGGGGGCGAGCGUUGUCCGGAUUUAUUGGGCGUAAAGAGCGUGUAGGCGGCCAGGUAGGUCCGUUGUGAAAACUCGAGGCUCAACCUCGAGACGUCGAUGGAAACCAUCUGGCUAGAGUCCGGAAGAGGAGAGUGGAAUUCCUGGUGUAGCGGUGAAAUGCGCAGAUAUCAGGAAGAACACCUAUGGCGAAGGCAGCUCUCUGGGACGGUACUGACGCUGAGACGCGAAAGCGUGGGGAGGCGAACGGAUAGAA